rfam:Bacteroidales bacterium WCE2004 genome assembly, contig: Ga0070256_11
CUGGGUGUGGCGCAGUUGGUAGCGCACCUGGUUAGGGACCAGGAGGUCGCUCGUUCAAGUCGAGUCACCCAGA